rnacentral:misc_RNA from 1 species
GUUGCAGUCUUUUUUCCGUGACACAUAUGGAAGGCCCGUGAUACACUGGCAUCCAAGAAUCACUUAUUCCCCUACAAGCAAGUUACGGAUACAGCUUUAAAUCACCUUGAAGAUUUCCAUUUUAGUGUCUCAACCUUCGCAAACGACAUCAGAUAUUCCUUCUCCCGCCGGACAGAUUUGGAGUCCUCCCCCCCUUGGGAAUGAUUAUAAUUAAAUUUGAUGGUGCUAUAUCAACCAAUGAGGGUCGAGGAGCUGCUGCCGCCAUAGCAAGAAACCACACUGGUACUCCUUUGACUUGGUCCAUCAAGAAGUUUCCUUAUAUUACUGAUCCUCUAGUUGCUAAAGCACUGGCCCGAAGAGAAGCAGUCGUUCUUGGGUUAUCAAAAUGUUUGCAUAGAGGGCGAUUCAUUAACUGUUAUCCAAGCUAUUCAAGGAGGGAUUACACCGUUUGAACUCUACUGUGAUUGCUAAUAUUUCAUUUCUGAUAUUUACUUCUAUUAGAAGAUCUUACAAUAGGACUGCUCAGUCUUUCUUCAAAAACUCCGCAUGAUACCUCUUUUGCUUGCAAUUUAUGGAUGUAAGUAAACUUUAUACCAGACUCAAUGCCCUAUUAAUUAUAUGACAGAUUUCUU